AUGAUUUGCUUAAGCUGGAACUGCCGGGGGCUUGGGAACCCCGAGGCAGUUCGUGAGCUUCGCAAUGUGGUGAAGCAAGAAGGUCCCGCCCUUCUCUUUGUGAUGGAAACGAAGAUUAGGGCUGACAGGGUAGAGAAUCUGAAAUUUUCUUUGGGUUUCUCUGGUUGUUUCGCAGUGGACAGUGUUGGGCUGAGCGGAGGCCUUGGAUUAUUCUGGUCAAAGGACGUGUCCGUUGAGCUUAAGAAUUACAGUACCGGCCACAUAGAUUGUGUGGUGCGGAGAGUUGAUACUCCAUCUGAUAUAUGGCGCUUCACAGGCUUCUAUGGCGCGCCAAGAGUGGAGGACCGCCACCAUAGUUAG
rnacentral:rRNA from 1 species